UCAGGGAGUAGUUUAAUUAAAAUAAUAAUUUUGGAGAUUAUUGAUAAGAUGUUCUUUUCCCUGAG
rnacentral:tRNA from 1 species